AAAACUAAAUGACUCAAUGUUUUAAAGGAUAGCUUAGAAAAAAAUCACUCAAGACAACAUAUUAUUUGACCCAGAGACUUCCCUACUAAGAAUUUAUCUUAUAGAAAGAUUCCCAUAAGCCUGCAAAGAUACAUGUACAAAUUUCAAUUGCAGGGUCAUGUGCAAUAGUAAACAAAUAGAAGCAACUUAAAUAUCUACCAAUAAGAAUCUGAAUAAUAAAUAAUAGUAUAUGUGAUACAUACUACAACAUGGAUGAAUUUUGAAAACAUUAAGAUAAGUGAAAGAAGGUCACAUAGUAUAUUAUCUAUUUAUAUGAGGUAUCCAGAAUAGGCAAGUCUAUAGACAGGAAGUAGAUUAGUGGCUCUCAGCAGCUGUGGGAAGGUGGGGGGAUAUGAUGGCUAAGGAACAUGAGAUUUCUUUUGGUGUUGAUGGAAAUGUUCUAAAAUUAAUUGCAAAGAUGAAUGCUCAGCUUUGUAAACAUACUAAAGGUCACUAAAUUGUCCACUUUAAUGGUUGAAUUGUAAAAUAUGUGAAUUCUAUCUCAAUAAAGCUAGAAAAAAUGGUACCAUCAAAAUUUUUUAUAAAAAAUAAUAGUAUCUUUAUUCAAAGGAAUAUUGUGCAGUCAGUAAAAGGGGAAUGCAUUGUUGAGGAAAAUAUGGAUGAUAAAUUGUUAAAGAAAAACAUGUUGCUGAACAAUUUGUAUAAAGGAGUCCAUUUUUUGGUUACAAAAAUCAGUAAACUAAUUUCUGAAAACAAACACAAGAAAUUGGUAAAAAUGUUUGCUUCUGGAGACUGGUAUACCAUAAUGGAAGAAUAUGUUCUUUUUAUCUUGUAUUCCUAUAUAUCAUUUGAAAAUCUUUAUGAACAUGUAUUUGCUUGUUUAAUUUUUUCAAAAUAUCUUAAAAUUAUAUGGCGAUACUAAUUUUCAAGUUACUGUAAUAUUAAUUAUUUCCUUCAUCAUUAUUCUUUCUCUAAAAGGAAAUUUCAGUCUUCCUCAUGUUUGUGAAAAAAGCCUUAUUUAAAACUGUAAAAAAAAAUCAGACGAGGUAAGUGGAGAGAUAUAUUUAAAAUUGCAAGGGCAGGGAGUGGGUUGUGUGGCUCUUGUUUAAGUUUGCACAUAUUGCCAGAUAGUUUUUAUUAUUUUUUUAAAGUAUAGUUGAUGUACAAUUUGUGCCAGUUUCUACAGUAGAGCAAAGUGAUCCAGUCAUAUAAUAUAUACAUUCUUUUUCUUUAAUUAUCUUCCAUCAUGGUCUAUCUCAGGACACUGAAUACAGUUCCCUGUGCUAUACAGUACGACCUCAUUGCUUAUCCAUUCUAAAUGUAAUAGUUUGUCUACUAAUCUCAAAUUUCCAGUCCAUCUCACUUUCCCUUCCCCUCCCCCUUGGCAACCACAAGUCUGUUCUCUAUGUUUGUUGUUUGCUUGCAGGCAUUUUAUAGACAGUUUUUUAAAUUGUAUUGUUUUUUAGGGCAGCAUCUUCAGCAUAUGGAGGUUCCCAGGCUAGGCGUCUAAUCAGAGUUACAGCUGCCGGGCUAUGCCACAGCCACAGCAAGGCAGGAUCCGAACCGAGUCUUCGACCUACACCACAGCUCACGGCAACGCCAGAUCCUUAACCCACUGAGCCAGGCCAGGGAUCUAACCCGCAACCUCAUGGUUCCUAGUCGGAUUCGUUAACCACUGCGCCAUGACGGGAACUCCUUAUAGACGGUUUUUUAAAAGACUGAGUGUUCCCUAGGUCUUGCACAUAUUGCCAUUUCUAAUAGCACCUUCUGAGAACUGAACAUGAGCAACUAAGCUUCUCAGUAGACUUGGAGGUUCCAGUAAAGAUAUCUCUUCUUUAUAUUAGAGUCUAGGUAUGGGAGAAGGAUUUUCACUUAUUCAUUUGCUGAUUUAUUCAAUCAAUAUAUGUUGAGUGCUUGCUCAUGCAAUGUACAGGGCCAGGCACUGAGUAUGUAAUGGUGAAUAAUUAUCAUAUUUCUUGAGCUACUAACCAUAGCAUGAUACUAAGCACUUCACAUAUAAUAUCUCAUUUGUCCUCACAAUAGUCCUGUGAUGUGGACACUGUUAUUACACUUUAAAAUUUUUAAAUUUUAUUUUACUUUUUAAUUGAAGUAUAGUUGAUUUACAAUGUUUCAGAUGUACAGCAGAGUGAUUCAGUUAUACAUAUAUUUCAAUUCUUUUCCAUUAUUGGUUAUUAUAAGAUGAUGAAUAUUGUUCUCUGUGCUAUAUAGCGGGUCCUUGUUAUUUAAGUAUUUUAUGCUCAGUAGUGUGUAUCUGUUAAUCCAAAUUACCAUUUUAUUCCUUCCCCUGCCUUUCCCCUUUGUAUCAAUUUGUUUUCCAUGUUUGUGAGCCUAUUUCUAUUUUGCAAAUAUGUUCGUUUGUAUCCCCUUAAGAUUCCACCUAUAAAUUAUAUCAUAUGAUAUUUGUCUUUCUCUGACUUACUUCACUUAGUAUGAUGAUCUCUAGGUCUAUCCAUGUUGAGGCAAAUGGCAUUAUUUCAUUCUUUUUAAUGGCUGAGUUAUUAUUAAACUUCCUUACAGAAGAGGAAAUUAGGAUUUAGAGAAAUGGAGUAGGUUGCUUAAGAUUACAUAGCUAAUAAGCAAAGACCUUGGGGGUUUGAACCCAACAUAUCUGACUCCAAAACACAUGCUUCUAAACAUUAUUAUGUACUGCGUUUUAAUAGUGCCAGUAAUCUCACUAUGGGAGAAGGGAACCCUGCCAGUCUGUCAUUCCUGCAUGACAGGCAGAAAUAGUUAACAACAUUACUAACAUGGAGGAGCAAAACAGACAUUUUUCCUGCCCUCUUCAGUUAGCAGAUUUAUUUUAAUGAAGUAUAUACUAAAUGUCAGAUACUGCUCUCAGCCUUGAGGCUAUGGCAGUGGAGACUGAUCCCUGCCCACAAGACGUUUGUAUUUCUAGUAGGGAAAUAGUCUAAACAAGAGGUAAAAUGAAAACAUAAAACCACCAACAAAUUGAGAUAAGGAAGAAAGCGAUUACUAGCAUCAAACAGAAGUGACCUGUUUGAGAUUGAAGGUCAGGGCAAGACUCUGAGUAGGUGACAGUGGCCAGGACAGUAACAUGCACUCAAACCCAUUUUCGUUGCCUUCUGAGCAACGAGCUAAAAACAUUUGCCAGGCCCCUUUACAAUUACAUGGGGCCAGUGGAAUGGGGUAAAAUUAGCAAACACCUCUUUGAGACCUGGUGCUGAAUCUCUGCUGUGACAUUCUACACAUUCUUCCUUCAUCUUUCUGCUGGAUAUGGUAGAUCCUAAAGGAAUCUGAGAACUUAGAAAGUGAUGGAGCCACUACACUGGAAAGAGCAGGUCCCUGAAUCCUCAUAAGAAGCUUGAUUCUAGCUGAUCCAUUAUGACUGAAGGAGAAGCUUGUUUUUGAGAGGCCACUGAGUGUUGGGGAUGGUUAUGGUAGUUAGCACAUUCUGACACAUUGAGCUCUGUAAGGUAAGUCUUGUGGGAUGACAAAGAUGUAGUGUGGGAAUGAGUGUUUUAGAGCAAAAAAUAGCCUGUGCAAAGGAUCUGGGGCAGGAACAGACUGGAAGAUGCCAGUGUGCCUGAGACUUCAUUGAGGGAAGGUGAUGAAGUGGGAAAGGAUGGUCCACCACCCAACCAGGCAGGUUUUUUGAGACCAUGGUAUGAGUGAGGACUUCAUUCUAGCUUCAGUGGAAAGCCCUCUAUGUAAAAAACAGGGGAAUGUCAUGAUUUACAUGGGAAAACUAAUACCCUGACUUUGUGGAGUGAGUGAGCAAGGACAAGACUACAAAUAGAAACAAGACAGUCUACAUAAUUUAUGAGGCUCCAGUGAAAAAUGAGAAUGUGUGAGGUCUCUUGAUCAAAACUUAUUUAAAAUUUCAAGAUGGCAACAGAUGAGCCUUAAAACACAGGGCUCUUCUAAGCAUGAAUAGGAGAAAUCUAGAAAAUAGGAGUUCCCAUGGUGGCUCAGUGGGUUGAGAACCUGAUGCUGCCUCCAUGAGGAUGCAGGUUGGAUCUCUCGCCUUGCUCAGUGGGUUAAGGAUCUGGUGUUGCUACAAGCUACAGCAUAGGUUGCAGAUAUGGCUUAGAAACUGUGUUCCUUUGGCUGUGGCAUAGGCUGGCACCUGCAACUUCAAUUCAUCCUCUGGCCUGGGAACUUCCAUAUG
rnacentral:lncRNA from 1 species